CCGGGAUGAGCUCAAAUUUAAAAUCUGGCGUCUUUCAGGCGUCCGAGUUGUAAUCUAUAGAGGCGUUUUCCGCGCCGGACCGCGUCCAAGUCCCUUGGAAUAGGGUAUCAAAGAGGGUGACAAUCCCGUACUUGACGCGACGACCGGUGCUCUGUGAUACGUUCUCAACGAGUCGAGUUGUUUGGGAAUGCAGCUCUAAACGGGUGGUAAAUUCCAUCUAAGGCUAAAUAUUGGCGAGAGACCGAUAGCGAACAAGUACCGUGAGGGAAAGAUGAAAAGCACUUUGGAAAGAGAGUUAAACAGCACGUGAAAUUGUUAAAAGGGAAACGAUUGAAGUCAGUCGUGUGAAAGGUAUUCAGCCGUCUCUGGCGGUGUAUUUGCCUUUCACGGGUCAACAUCAGUUUGAUCCGGCAGAAAAAGGCGGGAGGAAGGUGGCACCCUCGGGUGUGUUAUAGCCUCCUGUCACAUGUGUCGGACCAGACUGAGGAACG
rnacentral:rRNA from 1 species